rfam:Cavia porcellus supercont2_0 genomic scaffold, whole genome shotgun sequence.
ACUCUGCUGUGGCUCGUAAGUGUGACUUUUGGUUUUCUGCACCAUCGUGUAAGGCGUGCUUUCCUGAAACUGUGUUAUGAUAUUGGCAAAUUACCCGUUUGAUA